AUCAUGCAGAGAAAAAACACAUGCAAAUGUAGUUUUGCAUGCAAAUGAGCUCCUAAUGAAUACUCUCGCAUGAUGCAUCCAGGAAGAAUACUCGUCCAAAGCAAAGAAACGAUGUUGCAUAUAAUAAUACGAGAAGAAUUGAAGAAACCAUGCAAUUAAAAGAAUUGCAUAUGAGCUUUUGAGAGAAGAAAGUGGGCUCUAAAUGAAAACAUGGAAGGGUGGUGAGAAAAGGAGGGGGAAGAGAGAUUGAGAGAAGGGCACAAAGCCACAAACAAAGCAUAAGUUGAUGAGAGAACAUUUCUAGCACAUGAAUAAAUCACCUGAACAAGAAG
rnacentral:misc_RNA from 1 species